GGGGUGUUAGCUCAGUUUGGUUAGAGUGCCUGCCUGUCACGCAGGAGGUCGCGAGUUCGAGCCUCGUACACCCCG
rnacentral:tRNA from 1 species